rnacentral:rRNA from 1 species
AUUGAACGCUGGCGGCAGGCCUAACACAUGCAAGUCGAACGGUAACAGGGAUCAUCUUGCUGAUUCGCUGACGAGUGGCGGACGUAUUGGUAAUGUCUCUGCAACGUCCUGAGGGAUGAGGUUAACUACUGGGAACUGUUACUAAUACCGCAUAACGUCGCAAGGCCAAGGAUCUUGGCCCUCCACCCUCUUACCAUCGCCUAGGUCGGAUUAGCUAGUAGGUGGGGUAAGGGUAUACCUAGGCGACGAUCCCUAGCUGGUCUGAGAGGAUGAUCAGCCACACUGGAACUGAGACACGGUCCAGACUCCUAUGGGAGGCAGCAGUGGGGAAUAUUGCACAAUGGGCGCAAGCCUGAUGCAGCCAUGCCGCGUGUAUGAAGAAGGCCUUCGGGUUGUAAAGUACUUUAAGCGGGGAGGAAGGGAGUAAAGUUAAUACCUUUGCGCAUUGACGUUACCCGCAGAAGAAGCACCGGCUAACUCCGUG